AGACAGCAGCAGCCACGGUAAUGCGUAGGUGGCAAGCGUUGUCCGGAAUUAUUGGGCGUAAAGGGCGCGCAGGCGGCUUCUUAAGUCUGUCUUAAAAGUGCGGGGCUUAACCCCGUGAUGGGAUGGAAACUGGGAAGCUCAGAGUAUCGGAGAGGAAAGCGGAAUUCCUAGUGUAGCGGUGAAAUGCGUAGAUAUUAGGAGGAACACCAGUGGCGAAAGCGGCUUUCUGGACGAAAACUGACGCUGAGGCGCGAAAGCCAGGGGAGCGAACGGGAUUAGAUACCCCCGUAGUCCCUGUCUCUUAUAC
rnacentral:rRNA from 1 species